rnacentral:rRNA from 1 species
CAGUAGCCGCGGUAAAACGGAGGGUGCAAGCGUUAAUCGGAAUUACUGGGCGUAAAGCGCACGCAGGCGGUCUGACAAGUCAGAUGUGAAAUCCCCGGGCUUAACCUGGGAACUGCAUUUGAAACUGUCAGGCUGGAGUCUUGUAGAGGGGGGUGGAAUUCCAGGUGUAGCGGUGAAAUGCGUAGAGAUCUGGAGGAAUACCGGUGCGAAGGCGGCCCCCUGGACAAAGACUGACGCUCAGGUGCGAAAGCGUGGGGAGCAAACAGGAUUAGAUACCCGCGUAGUCCCUGUCUCUUAUACA